AUCCGUGGCAGGCGUAACCGAAGCCGUGACGCGUACCGACUGCAGUAGGGAGUAUGCGAGCAUGCGUCAGAAAAGCCGCUAUCGCUCAUAUCGCGCCCGUACCGCAAACCGACACAGGUAGAUGAGAGAGAAUCCUAAGGCCGACGGGAGAAGCAUUGUCAAGGAACUCGGCAAAAUGACUCCGUAACUUCGGGAGAAGGAGUGCCAUAGAGAUAUGGCCGCAGAGAAUUGGCCCAAGCAACUGUUUAGCAAAAACACAGGUCUAUGCGAAGCCGCAAGGCGAGGUAUAUGGGCUGACGCCUGCCCGGUGCUGGAAGGUUAAGGGGAGAGGUUAGAGCGAUCGAAGCCUUGAACUUAAGCCCCAGUAAACGGCGGCCGUAACUAUAACGGUCCUAAGGUAGCGAAAUUCCUUGUCGGGUAAGUUCCGACCCGCACGAAAGGCGUAAUGAUUUGGGCACUGUCUCGACAAUGCACCCGGUGAAAUUGAAGUACCAGUGAAGAUGCUGGUUACCCGCGCCAGGACGGAAAGACCCCAUGGAGCUUUACUCCAGCUUGAUACUGGGAUCCGGUAUUGCAUGUACAGGAUAGGUGGGAGGCUAGGAAGCGAUGACGCCAGUCGUCGCGGAGCCGCUGUUGGGAUACCACCCUUGCAGUGCUGGGUUUCUAACCAGCAGCCGUGAACCGGCUGGGGGACAAUGUCAGGCGGGGAGUUUGACUGGGGCGGUCGCCUCCGAAAGGGUAUCGGAGGCGCUCAAAGGUCCUCUCAGAAUGGUCGGAAACCAUUCGCAGAGCGCAAAGGCAGAAGAGGGCUUGACUGCGACACCGACGGGUGGAGCAGGUACGAAAGUAGGACUUAGUGAUCCGGUGGUAUAAAGUGGGAUUGCCAUCGCUCAACGGAUAAAAGCUACCCUGGGGAUAACAGGCUUAUCACUCCCAAGAGUUCACAUCGACGGAGUGGUUUGGCACCUCGAUGUCGGCUCAUCGCAUCCUGGGGCUGAAGUAGGUCCCAAGGGUUGGGCUGUUCGCCCAUUAAAGCGGUACGCGAGCUGGGUUCAGAACGUCGUGAGACAGUUCGGUCCCUAUCCGGCGCGGGCGUAGGAUAUUUGAGAGGAGCUGUCCUUAGUACGAGAGGACCGGGAUGGACUGGCCGCUGGUGGAUCUGUUGCGCCUCCAGGCGCAUGGCAGAGUAGCCAAGCCGGGACGGGAUAAACGCUGAAGGCAUCUAAGCGUGAAGCCCCCCUCGAGAUGAGAUAUCCCUGGCGUUAAGCCAGUAAGACCCCUUGAAGACGACGAGGUAGAUAGGAUAGAGGUGGAAGUGCAGCAAUGCAUGGAGCUGACUAUUACUAAUCGGUCGAGGGCAUGACCAG
rnacentral:rRNA from 1 species